rnacentral:tRNA from 1 species
AGUUGAUUCAAGAAGUAAAUGUGUUUUGAAAACACAAAUUUAAAGGUUUAAUUCCUUUAUCAACUU